ACCUGUUGAUACAUAUAUCCAUGGACAAUUUGAGGGGUCAUGUUUAAUACUGAGAUGUAUACCUGUUGAUACAUAUAUCCAUGGUUUCUAUAUUUCUCAGAUUUAUUGGGUGUCUUUUCGAAGUUAUCAAAAUGUUAACCCGUCGUCAUUCGAUCAAGGUCGAACUCUUCUUCUUAGACGAAGGACCUUGUCCUUAAGGUUGUUAUUUCGAACUUAUCGAAAUGUUAACCCGUCGUCGUUCAAUCAAGGUCAAACUCUUCUUCUUUGGAGAAGGCCCUUGGCCUUAAAGGGUGUUAUUUCGAACUUAUCGAAAUAUUAACCCGUCGUCGUUCGAUCAAGGUCGAACUCUU
rnacentral:lncRNA from 1 species